rnacentral:rRNA from 1 species
GCCAAACAGCUAGCUCAAACAUUUAGACAGUCCUAGAAUAUUAAUACAAAACAUUAUUUUAACCAAUAAACUAAAUCAUUCUUUUACCUAAGUACGGGAGACAGAAAAG